rnacentral:scRNA from 1 species
ACACAGCCUCUCAAUAUACCGAUAUCUCCUAUUU